rnacentral:rRNA from 1 species
UAGGGAAUCUUCGGCAAUGGACGGAAGUCUGACCGAGCAACGCCGCGUGAGUGAAGAAGGUUUUCGGAUCGUAAAGCUCUGUUGUAAGAGAAGAACGAGUGUGAGAGUGGAAAGUUCACACUGUGACGGUAUCUUACCAGAAAGGGACGGCUAACUACGUGCCAGCAGCCGCGGUAAUACGUAGGUCCCGAGCGUUGUCCGGAUUUAUUGGGCGUAAAGCGAGCGCAGGCGGUUAGAUAAGUCUGAAGUUAAAGGCUGUGGCUUAACCAUAGUACGCUUUGGAAACUGUUUAACUUGAGUGCAAGAGGGGAGAGUGGAAUUCCAUGUGUAGCGGUGAAAUGCGUAGAUAUAUGGAGGAACACCGGUGGCGAAAGCGGCUCUCUGGCUUGUAACUGACGCUGAGGCUCGAAAGCGUGGGGAGCAAACAGGAUUAGAUACCCUGGUAGUCCACGCCGUAAACGAUGAGUGCUAGGUGUUAGACCCUUUCCGGGGUUUAGUGCCGCAGCUAACGCAUUAAGCACUCCGCCUGGGGAGUACGAACCGCAAGGUUG